rnacentral:rRNA from 1 species
UACGUAGGCAGCGAGCGUUGUUCGGAGUUACUGGGCGUAAAGGGUGUGUAGGCGGCUUUCUAAGUUUGGUGUGAAAUCUCCCGGCUUAACCGGGAGGGUGCGCCGAAAACUGGGAGACUAGAGUGCGGGAUGGGAGAGUAGAAUUCCUGGUGUAGCGGUGAAAUGCGUAGAUAUCUGGAGGAACACCGGUGGCGAAGGCGGCAUCCUGGACCGGUAUUGACGCUGAGGCGCGAAAGCCAGGGGAGCAAACGGG